UUGGUGCCGUUCGGGAACUCUGACACAGGUGCUGCAGUGGCUGUCGUCAGCUCGUGUCGUGAGAUGGUUGGGUUAAGUCCCGUAACGAGCGCCAACCCUUGUCCUUAGUUACCAGCACGUUAUGGUGGGCACUCUAAGGAGACUGCCGGUGACAAACCGGAGGAAGGUGGGGAUGACGUCAAGUCAUCAUGGCCCUUACGGCCUGGGCUACACACGUGCUACAAUGGUCGGUACAAAGGGUUGCCAAGCCGCGAGGUGGAGCUAAUCCCAUAAAACCGAUCGUAGUCCGGAUCGCAGUCUGCAACUCGACUGCGUGAAGUCGGAAUCGCUAGUAAUCGUGGAUCAGCAUGCCACGGUGAAUACGUUCCCGGGCCUU
rnacentral:rRNA from 1 species